rnacentral:rRNA from 1 species
UACGUAGGGGGCGAGCGUUGUCCGGAAUUACUGGGCGUAAGGCGUACGUAGGCGGAUUAGUAAGUUGGGGGUGAAAUCCCGGGGCUCAACCCCGGAACUGCCUCCAAAACUACUAGUCUUGAGAUCGUGAGAGGUGAGUGGAAUUCCGAGUGUAGAGGUGAAAUUCAUAGAUAUUCGGAGGAACAUCAGUGGCGAAGGCGGCUCACUGGCACGAUACUGACGCUGAGGUACGAAAGUGUGGGGAGCAAACAGG